rnacentral:lncRNA from 1 species
UAUAACAUUUUAGGUUAUGUUGAAUGAGAGAGAGAGGCUGACAAAACAGAAGAAAAGUCUAAAUUUGUUGACACUUGGACUUAUGUCUUUCUAGAAGAAUUGUUGUUGCUUGUUUAUUAUCUAUACACAUACACAGUACUACACACCGUCCUUCUAGAAGCCCCACAGGCUCGCUCGCACGUCAUUUCGCAUACAAAAAAAAAAAAAAAAACUCCCGUCUUCUUGAACCAAUGAUUCGCCAUCUCUAUUACAUUUAAGUGCUCCUCCUACUACCAAAAACACAUAAUCAUUUCUAUAUUGUCGUCAAUUAUAAUGGCCACUUUUUUUGUUUCCUUCCAUAUAUUAAUAGUUUGAAAU